GGUCUCGUGCAACGAGUCACCGUGAACCGUGUCAGGGUGGGAACACAGCAGCACUAAGCGGAACGAUUCGUGUGCCACGAGGUUG
rnacentral:SRP_RNA from 1 species